rnacentral:lncRNA from 1 species
AUGUGUUGUCUUGGUGCAUAAAGAAAUAAAAGCGAGCUAAAACGGGUCAAAAAUGAGCUGCUCCAUCACAAAGAAAAAAAGGGAAUAAUAGUGAGACUUGGAGGGCUGAACUGCAAUUAGAGAUAAGCUAUUUGAAAAUAUCUUACCAAAGUUGGAGGACUAAUGUUGCCAGAUGGUUGAAAAGUGAAAUUAAUUCCUAAGUCUAAAAAAAAGAUGAAGCAAAGUGACGUUGACUAGGAAUUGAGUUUUGGGCUACAUUAUCAAUUUUAAUAUUUGGAGUGGAAGAUGAUCUCACUAAUAAUAGAAUAUAUAUAUCGAAAAAUGGGAAGUGCAGGCAUCGAAAUCCAACCCAAAUUACAACUUUAGUGAUUUACUAAAUGGGCCCAAAGUUGUGGAAUAAUAGUUGACUACAAAUCAAAGGUCGGCUAUAACCUACUGAGAUAUAUACGCAACACAAGAAAAGGAGGCAAAAAGGACUGUGACGGCAGAAACGAUCAUACAGCAGAGAGAGGACGCAUACAGGAGAAUACAAGCAAGUUGUUGGAAUCGAAAAAUAUUCAAGUGUGAUUCGUGAUUGAAGUCGUUAGAUACAUGGAGCUUGCACAGGGAGGAGCUGGUCGUUGUGG